CUAUCUUCAGGGGACUCAUACACUAAAAUCGGAGCACUAGAGAGGAGAUUAGCAUGGUGCCUGUGCAAGGAUGACAUUCAAAUUGGUGAAUCCUCCCAGAGUUUA